rnacentral:rRNA from 1 species
UAAUCUAUUUAAUUCUGGUUGUAGAAGAUAUGGAAACAAGUUCACAUAAGACAUUUUUAUGUAUAAUCAAAAAGGAUAACCUUUUGGUUUUUAGUGUCUAAACCUUAUUUUUCGGAGUAAUCCGGAUUAGGUUGUUUCCGGAUAAGUGGUGAAUACACAGUGCCAGCAUCCGCGGAUUAUUCUGUUAGCUUUAGUCUUCGGUAAUAGGUGUAAAAAAUAUAGGGGGAAUUAGCCAGUUAUGAGUAGAAUCUUUCUGUGUUGGAAACAUGCCCUUAAUAGUAUUUUUCUAGAAGCAUAUAGAUUAAGGGGAUUAGAUACCCCCGUAAUGUGCCUUAAGUUUUGUUCCUUAGUAUAAACUAAAAGGAUUUGGCAGCCGACGAAGUUCUUCCGGGGGAGUGUGUAUCGUAAGAGACAGUCCGCUUAUGAAUUGACCUCAUCUAUUUGUGUUAGUGUAUAUCCGGUUUAAAAUUUGUGGUUAAUGUCUAUGAGUGUAACGUUUUGUUUAAGCCAGGUCUAUGUGCUGCUUAUGUUGGGGUGUUUAUGCACUACAUUAGUAAAGGUAUUGGUUGGUGGUUUACUAAUAAUAUUUAGGACUCGGAAGUAGGCUUAAAAGAUAGUAUUUUUGGUCGAAGUAGAUUUAGUUGGGGUACACACCGCCCGUCACCCAGGGCGUUAGCUGUGGUAAGUCGUAACAUGGUAAUACUAGGGGAACCUGGUGUUAGUUAGUUCUGCGUUUGUUAAAAUCGCAGGGUUG